rnacentral:rRNA from 1 species
AAGGUCAUAUCUAGUAAGCAUUAUACCGUGAAACUGCGAAUGGCUCAUUAAAUCAGUUAUCGUUUAUUUGAUAAUACCUUACUACUUGGAUAACCGUGGUAAUUCUAGAGCUAAUACAUGCUGAAAAUCCCGACUUCGGAAGGGAUGUGUUUAUUAGAUAAAAAACCAAUGCCCUUCGGGGCUUUUUGGUGAUUCAUGAUAACUUUACGGAUCGCAUAGCCUUGCGCUGGCGACGGUUCAUUCAAAUUUCUGCCCUAUCAACUUUCGAUGGUAAGGUAUUGGCUUACCAUGGUUUCAACGGGUAACGGGGAAUUAGGGUUCGAUUCCGGAGAGGGAGCCUGAGAAACGGCUACCACAUCCAAGGAAGGCAGCAGGCGCGCAAAUUACCCAAUCCCGACACGGGGAGGUAGUGACAAUAAAUACUGAUACAGGGCUCUUUUGGGUCUUGUAAUUGGAAUGAGUACAAUUUAAACCUCUUAACGAGGAACAAUUGGAGGGCAAGUCUGGUGCCAGCAGCCGCGGUAAUUCCAGCUCCAAUAGCGUAUAUUAAAGUUGUUGCAGUUAAAAAGCUCGUAGUUGAAACUUGGGCCUGGCUGGCGGGUCCGCCUCACCGCGUGCACUCGUCCGGCCGGGCCUUCCUUCUGAAGAACCUCAUGCCCUUCACUGGGCGUGCUGGGGAAUCAGGACUUUUACUUUGAAAAAAUUAGAGUGUUCAAAGCAGGCCUUUGCUCGAAUACGUUAGCAUGGAAUAAUAAAAUAGGGCGUGCGUUUCUAUUUUGUUGGUUUCUAGAGACGCCGCAAUGAUUAACAGGAACAGUCGGGGGCAUCAGUAUUCAGUUGUCAGAGGUGAAAUUCUUGGAUUUACUGAAGACUAACUACUGCGAAAGCAUUUGCCAAGGAUGUUUUCAUUAAUCAGUGAACGAAAGUUAGGGGAUCGAAGACGAUCAGAUACCGUCGUAGUCUUAACCGUAAACUAUGCCGACUAGGGAUCGGGCGAUGUUCUUUUUCUGACUCGCUCGGCACCUUACGAGAAAUCAAAGUUUUUUGGGUUCUGGGGGGGAUUAUGGGUUCGGCAAGCCUGAAACCUUGAAGGAUAUUGAACGAGAAGGAAACACACACAGGU